rnacentral:lncRNA from 1 species
AUAAAGGAAAAUGAAAGAUUAGGAAGGUAAGAGGUCUGCUGGCAGCGAUGAGCUCAAACAAAUCUUCGAUAAGCCUCUAUCAUCAAAAUCAGAUUCACAUACUAUGAGCUAUGACUAAGAUCAAGAGAGCUUCAAUUCAAUUACACCUCAAGUCACCUAAAACUCUCACCAGGAGUUAUGUAAUUGUUACUAAUAGAGUUAAAUUUCAAGCACUCGAUAUAAACUUUUCCCAUGUUUAGGUAAAAUCUGAAAUUUUUGCUAAUUGUAAGAUACUAAUGUGAUACUCAUGUUUAUUCCUCUACAAAGGACUAAUUAUCAUCGAGAUUAAUACCACC